AUUAACCUUAAAGAUGUUGGUGAAAUUUAGAAGAUACGUGUUGGACGUGACAACAGUGGAAAGGAUCCUAGGUGGAACCUGGAAGAAAUGCGACUUGAGAAGAUGAACACCCAGGAGCUGUUGUGUUUCGCUGUUGAUCCCUGGGUAGCUGAGAAUGAAAACGAUGGAGACCUACGGGAGGACAUGCCCGCCGUGAGAACGAACAGAGCGCCUUGGCCAGGUUGAUGUUUUUUCCAUUGAGGCAGUGGCUCUUGGAGAAUUGGAGAAAAUUUGGAUUAGUCAUGAUGGGACAGGUCCAGUUUUCACAGGAAAUGGCUGGUUUCUUGAGUGCGUUGUUCUUAAAUGUGAAGAGGAAGACGACAACCAGGAGGCACUGUUCCCGUGCAACAGGGUCUGGCACUUACCGCUCCCUGACCCUGUAGAGGCUCCCGGUGAAGCGAGAACUCUACGAAGCAACUCAUCCCAGCCUCACCCGCGGCCUCAGAGGGGCUCCAUGACACUUCUGUUCCACAGGUGAGGAAGCUGAGACGCCCAGAGGUCAGAUUUCUUACCUAAACACGAACAGGGUUCAGGGCCGGGGGGUCUGACUCUUGAACUGAACUGUCCCAUUGGGGAUUAAAAGCUCGUGUCUGUUGAGCUCCUGAACUGCCCCUGUCCCAAAUCAAGGUGUGAGGAGGUGUAAAAGGCAUGUGCCAGCUGCCAGAGACGAGGAGUCAGUAAGACUGUGGUUGUGGAAGUCCAUUCGGGCUGCUGUAACAGCACCCGGCAGUCCG
ensembl:lncRNA